rnacentral:rRNA from 1 species
GGAGGAAAAGAAACUAACAAGGAUUCCCCUAGUAACGGCGAGUGAAGCGGGAUGAGCUCAAAUUUAAAAUCUUGCAGCCUCAGGUUGUACGAGUUGUAGUCUAGAGAAUCGUUUUCCGCGUUGGCCUGUGUACAAGUCCCUUGGAACAGGGCGUCAUAGAGGGUGAGAAUCCCGUCCUUGACACAGAUUACCAAUGCUUUGUGAUGCGAUCUCGAAGAGUCGAGUUGUUUGGGAAUGCAGCUCAAAAUGGGUGGUAAAUUCCAUCUAAAGCUAAAUAUUGGCGAGAGACCGAUAGCGAACAAGUACCGUGAGGGAAAGAUGAAAAGCACUUUGGAAAGAGAGUUAAACAGUACGUGAAAUUGUUAAAAGGGAAACGAUUGAAGUCAGUCAUGCUCUCCGAGACUCAGCCGAUUCUGUCGGUGUACUUCUCGGUUGGCAGGCCAGCAUCAGUUUUGAUCUGUGGAAAAGGUUGGAGAGAAUGUGGCAUCUUCGGAUGUGUUAUAGCUCUUCUUCGAAUACAUAGAGCGGGACUGAGGAACGCAGCGUGCCCUUUAUUGGGUUGGCCUUCGGGUACAUACACGCUUAGGAUGCUGGCAUAAUGGCUUUAAACGACCCGUCUUGAC